UACGUAGGGCGCAAGCGUUAUCCGGAAUUAUUGGGCGUAAAGAGCUCGUAGGCGGUUUGUCGCGUCUGCCGUGAAAGUCCGGGGCUUAACUCCGGAUCUGCGGUGGGUACGGGCAGACUAGAGUGAUGUAGGGGAGACUGGAAUUCCUGGUGUAGCGGUGAAAUGCGCAGAUAUCAGGAGGAACACCGAUGGCGAAGGCAGGUCUCUGGGCAUUAACUGACGCUGAGGAGCGAAAGCAUGGGGAGCGAGCAGG
rnacentral:rRNA from 1 species